CCUACGGUGAGGCAGCAGUGGGGAAUAUUGCACAAUGGGCGAAAGCCUGAUGCAGCAACGCCGCGUGAAGGAAGAAGGGUUUCGGCUCGUAAACUUCUAUUAACAGGGACGAAAGAAAUGACGGUACCUGAUUAAGAAGCCUCGGCUAACUACGUGCCAGCAGCCGCGGUAAUACGUAGGGCGCAAGCGUUAUCCGGAAUUACUGGGUGUAAAGGGUGAGUAGGCGGCAUGGUAAGCCAGUCGGUAAAGCUUUGGGCUUAAACCGAGGAGUGCAUUUGGAACUAACGAGCUAGAGUACAGGAGAGGAAAGCGGAAUUCGUGGUGUAGCGGUGAAAUGCGUAGAUAUUAGGCAGAACACCAGUGGCGAAGGCAGCUUUCUGGACUGAAACUGACGCUGAGGCACGAAAGUGUGGGUAGCGAACAGGAUUAGAUACCCCUGUAGUC
rnacentral:rRNA from 1 species